GUGGGGGAUAUUGGACAAUGGGGGGAACCCUGAUCCAGCGACGCCGCGUGAGUGAAGAAGUAUCUCGGUAUGUAAAGCUCUAUCAGCAGGGAAGAAAGAAAUGACGGUACCUGAGUAAGAAGCCCCGGCUAACUACGUGCCAGCAGCCGCGGUAAUACGUAGGGGGCAAGCGUUAUCCGGAAUUACUGGGUGUAAAGGGAGCGUAGACGGUGAAGUAAGUCUGGAGUGAAAGGCGGGGGCCCAACCCCCGGACUGCUCUGGAAACUAUUUGACUGGAGUGCAGGAGAGGUAAGCGGAAUUCCUAGUGUAGCGGUGAAAUGCGUAGAUAUUAGGAGGAACACCAGUGGCGAAGGCGGCUUACUGGACUGUAACUGACGUUGAGGCUCGAAAGCGUGGGGAGCAAACAGG
rnacentral:rRNA from 1 species